CAUUUCGCAUUGCUAAUUAUGUCCUAAUGUUAGCUAGCAAACUAGCUAACAUUGAACCUAUUUGGUUAACUUUAGCUAGCUAUGACAAUCGGCUUGUAUGGCUAGUACUCUAUGGAUUAAGAUAAUGGUUUAUUGUUUAGCUAGCAUGUCUAAACAAGACUCCAUUUCGUCAGAUGAUUACAUGACCCAUCAAGUUAGCCAGGUGUGUCUGACGGUGAUUACGGCUAUCUAUGAAUAAUAAUGUCAAAAUAUUUGUAUCUGGAAUUUGUCUUUCAGCAUCAGUAGAACACGCUUGACUCUCCUCCACCAGUCACACAAGGAGAGUGGUCUAAUGCUUCCCAUCAUAAAGAGAGCUGGCCCAAGCAAGCACAGGUUACACCUGAAUCAUGAGGACUUGUAGCGAGUGGUGAACUUCAUCAUCAACUACGCAGAGGAUAAUUCAAUAGUAUUACCAGGAUGCCACCCGGGACACAAACACUUUGGUGGAAAGCUGCUGCCACCCCAUUGUGACAAAAGCAGCAGUGUGGCGUCUCCACAAGUAAUCGAUGACAACACUUGAGGUACGUGUAGAUGGGCUAUGUGUUAUCAUUUUAACUUCCAGUUUCCAAGAUGAUGUUUCUGUAUGCAGUGCUGCUGCUCUGCACAUUUGUAGGUGCGCUAUCCUUCUGACCCUAUGCAGCAAAGUCCCAUCUACUUUUUAACUCCUCGCACGUGUGGCUUGUUUGAGGACUGCUGUGAAGGAAUACCACAACAAGUCAACAACUUGAUUGAUGAAGGCACGUCAUCAAGCAAAGGCAGUAGUGCAGUUAUCAACUACAUGGACCAUUUCUUCACCAACUACGGAUUUGGGGAAACACGUAUGGACCUGAAUUGUGGUAACUGCAGUGGCCAAAACAAGAACAAGUUUGUGCUCUGCUAUUGUGCCUGGUGGACCAUGCACAAACUCCGCCACAGUCGGACCUUCACUUCCUGAUUACAGGCCACACCAAGUUUGCCCCCGACUGCUGCUUCGGUCUCAUCAAGCAGUGCUUGAGAUUGCUGGUGUUGUGAAGAACUGCUGGUUGGACUGGGGGAUGGUACGGUGCUGAUGGAAAGCUAUGACUGGCACCAACACCUGACUCCGUACUUCAGGCCACUGCCACAGUUCAAACAGUUCAUUUUUAUUGCAUUGUAUGAGGUUUUUCUUCUUAUCUAAACUUGGGAGGUGAAUUGAUGUUGUGCAAGGUUGUAAUGUCUUAAAUGUUUUUGUUAUUUCCUUCGAUGCUCUGGAGCCUGGUGUUGUUGUCGCCAAGGAGGUGUUCAGAUUGUCGGGACCAGGUUUCAGCUACUGCACAACGCUGACAUCCUUCCUCCCAUAGACGGUCUGCCUGUACAAGCACCACCUGAACUGGACACAGCUAGACAAACUGAUGUUUUUGAGAAGAUCAGAGAAUUUUGCGACGAAGAGGCUAUGGAUAUCAUAUGCCCUGCACCAAAGUCGAGGGCCGGACAGAAACUGCUCUCCGAAUAUAGAUUCCCUUGUUCAUGCGUGGUUCGGACGGACCAGUCAUCAGCGCUAUCUGCAGUUCCUCUAUUCAAAUGACUCUCUAAUCAAAUCAAAUUUUAUUGGUCACAAACACAUGGUUAGCAGAUGUUAAUGCGAGUGUAGCGAAAUGCUCGUAACACAUUGCUGCGACAAUUUCUUUUUUUUAUCCUGCUGCUCAGCCACUUUACCUCUAAUAAUUUAAUCUGGACACUUUCUGUUUACCUGGAAUUGUUCCUUAUUGUAGGCUACUACUUUUACCACUUUUAGUCUUAAUCUUACUACACUACUCAGUGUUUAGCACAUGACCUCACAUGUGAAUCCUUAAAGAGAUGGGUGACGCUGGCUUAAGAGGGUGUGAACAAUGCUGAAUGGGUUUAGACAAAGAAGAGCUCUCCAGUACGUACCAAAACAUUCAAAUGCCAUUUUCUCAAAAGUGAGUAUUGAAGUUUAUCAACUUUCAAAGCAAAAUUACUUUCGCAUUGUUCCUCAAAUGCAGUGAAUGAUACAGUGCCCUCCAAAAUUAUUCAUCCCCCUUGGCUUUUUUCCUAUUGUGUUGCAUUACAACCUGUAAUUUACAUAGAUUUUAAUUUGGAUUUUGUAUACUGGACGUACACAAAAUAGUCCAAUUUGGUGAAGUGAAAUGAAAAAAAGAACUUAUUUCAAAAAUUACAUUUAAAAA